rnacentral:rRNA from 1 species
CCGUUUCAGGUACCGUAGCGAUGCCUAGCGUGCCGGUGGAGCGGUAACAGGGGUAAUUGUAUUACCUGCUGACGGGCGGCGGACGGCUGAGUAACGCGUGGGAACAUGCCCCAAAGUGAGGAAUAAGCACCAGAAAUGGUGUCUAAUGCCGCAUAUGAUCUUCGGAUUAAAGGAUUUAUCCGCUUUGGGAGUGGCCCGCGUACGAUUAGGUAGUUGGUGAGGUAAGGGCUCACCAAGCCUACGAUCGUUAAUUGGUCGGAGAGGAUGACCAGUCAGACUGGAACUGGGACACGGUCCAGACUCCUACGGGAGGCAGCAGUGAGGAAUCUUCCACAAUGGGCGAAAGCCUGAUGGAGCGACGCCGCGUGCAGGAUGAAGACCUUCGGGUUGUAAACUGCUUUUAUAAGUGAAGAAUAUGACGGUAACUUAUGAAUAAGCACCGGCUAACUACGUGCCAGCAGCCGCGGUCAUACGUAGGGUGCAAGCAUUAUCCGGAGUGACUGGGCGUAAAGAGUUGCGUAGGUGGCUCGUAAAGUGAAUGGUGAAAUCUGGCGGCUCAACCGUACAGACCAUUAUUCAAACUCACGAACUCUAGAAUGGUAUAGGUAACUGGAAUUUCUAGUGUAGGAGGGAAAUCCGUAGAUAUUAGAAGGAACACCAAUGCCGUAGGCAGGUUACUGGACCAUUCCUGACACUGAGGCACGAAAGCGUGGGGAGCGAACCGGAUUAGAUACCCGGGUAGUCCACGACGUAAACUAUGGAUACUAGCUGUUGGAGAUAUCAACCCCUUCAGUAGCGAGUUUAACACGUUAAGUAUCCCGCCUGUGGAGCACGGUCGCAAGACUAAAACACAAAGGAAUUGACGGGGAGCCUUACAAGCGGUGUAUUAUGUUCUUUAAUUCGAUGAUAAACGAUGAACCUUAUUCGAGUUUAGACAUCCCAAGAGUUUUGUCGAAAGACGAGAGUGCUUUAUUGAACUUGGUGACAGGUGAUGCAUGGCCGUCGUCAGCUCGUGUCGUGAGAUGUUUGGUUAAGUCCAUCAACGAGCGCAACCCUUGUGAUUAGUUGUAUUUUUCUAAUCAGACUGCCCCGGUAACGGGGAGGAAGGAGGGGAUGA